AUGAACGCUGGCGGCGUGCCUAAUACAUGCCAGUAGAACGCUGAAGGAAGGAGCUUGCUCUUUCCGGAUGAGUUGCGAACGGGUGAGUAACGCGUAGGUAACCUGCCUGGUAGCGGGGGAUAACUAUUGGAAACGAUAGCUAAUACCGCAUAACAGUAGAUGUUGCAUGAUAUCUACUUAAAAGGUGCAAUUGCACCACUACCAGAUGGACCUGCGUUGUAUUAGCUAGUUGGUGAGGUAACGGCUCACCAAGGCGACGAUACAUAGCCGACCUGAGAGGGUGAUCGGCCACACUGGGACUGAGACACGGCCCAGACUCCUACGGGAGGCAGCAGUAGGGAAUCUUCGGCAAUGGACGGAAGUCUGACCGAGCAACGCCGCGUGAGUGAAGAAGGGUUUCGGAUCGUAAAGCUCUGUUGUAAGAGAAGAACGAGUGUGAGAGUGGAAAGUUCACACUGUGACGGUAUCUUACCAGAAAGGGACGGCUAACUACGUG
rnacentral:rRNA from 1 species